GAUGAACGCUGACAGAAUGCUUAACACAUGCAAGUCCACUUGAACUUCGGUUUGGGUGGCGGACGGGUGAGUAACGCGUAAAGAACUUGCCUCACAGUUAGGGACAACAUUUGGAAACGAAUGCUAAUACCUGAUAUUAUGAUUUUAGGGCAUCCUAGAAUUAUGAAAGCUAUAUGCGCUGUGAGAGAGCUUUGCGUCCCAUUAGCUAGUUGGAGAGGUAACGGCUCACCAAGGCGAUGAUGGGUAGCCGGCCUGAGAGGGUGAACGGCCACAAGGGGACGGAGACACGGCCCGUACGCCUACGGGAGGCAGCAGGGGGGAAUAUGGGACAAUGGACCAAGAGUCUGAUACAGCAAUUCUGUGUGCACGAUGAAGUUUUUCGGAAUGUAAAGUGCUUUCAGUUGGGAAGAAAAAAAUGACGAUACCAACAGAAGAAGUGACGGCUAAAUACGUG
rnacentral:rRNA from 1 species